GCGAGAGCGAAGGCAGCGCGCAGCUCAGAGCAUGUCGCCUCCCGUCGCCGCGCCGCACCGCGGGAUCCGCCGUCGACCUUCCGCGCUGUUAACGUGAAGCCCGCCGCGCUCGCGUUCGAUAGCGCCUUUUCUCCCUCGCUAUGCUCGAGACGGAGGUCUGAGGAGACACAACUUGGCACAGGCUUGUCGUUUGCUGCCCGCUGCUGGAGCUGUUUGUUUGCAGGGGGGGCGAGAAAAAGUGCGAAACAAGUGUCAGCGAGCGAGCAACAGAUGUUUUUGGUGGAAAAUGCGUCCGCGUGAGGAAUGAGAGCAGCAGCGAGGCACCGGCGGCCCUUCCAGCGGUUCUGCUGCUGUGCAGUCGGGCUGGUCGCGGUCAUGUGGCUCGUCCAGGUCAUCCAGGCACCAGAGACGGAGUCUUCUGGCGUUCGCCCGGCCGUGAACGGGGGGGAGCUGCGAUGGACUCGCCGGCUGAUGCAGGAGAAGUCGGACAACCAGAGUGUGGAUCUGCCGCGAGCAGAGUUUCGGCAAUGCUGAGUGGCGCGUGCAGGCAAAGGAGAAAGGCGCCGUUCCCCGGAGGUUUCUGCGCCGCGUGCAGGUGAACUGGAAGGUCAUGCGGCGCUGUGCCAGUGGGACGGCGCGUGUUGUCGGUGUCGAGCUUUGUGUACCGACAGACCCGAGGAGACGGCACGAGAGGAGGCCGCCGAAAGUGAAAGUCAGAUUAGAUUUUGUAAAGUAGCCUGUCGACGGCGAGGCGCCGAGUUCCCUUCAGUACCUGCCGGAGUCUGGUUGCGCACUGAAAAGGCCGCACGUCUUCAAAGUGCUCCUUAUUAUCGCAGAGACGUGCAGCCAUUGAAAGCCUUAAUGAGAAAUGAAUUGACCCGUGUCUUUGUGUUUCCCGGGCUUAUGAGCUCGCUGGCUGACACGAGCCGCACUUGUCAAAGCUGAAAUGGGUAUUAUUGAAGACAGGCAGGAGAAUAGCGAAAAUAAAGUAAAACAAUGAAACAUCAUCUGCUUUACUGACAGAGUACAAUUGGUUACCUUCACAUCAUGUCACUCUAUGAUGCAGCUAAUAUUAGGCUGUUGGUCACAAUGUUGCAUUGUGGGUCAGAGAAAUUUAUGCAAAUCAAGUUUUUCUAAUAAUUUACUUUACAAAUGACCUGUUUAGAAUACCACCUUAAAUAUGCUCACCUUACAGAGGGUGUGCAACCUAAAAGGAAACCUGCACACAAUGAAUGAUUUGAUCCUUUUUACAAACGUGAUGUGAAACAGGCUCGACGUGUCCAAGGCGACUUUGUGAAGCAUUGGUUCUAGACAUUCAGGAACUUUACAGACAUAUUAUGUGUUUCACAGCAGUUGGGGAAAGAUUAUGAUGCCAGGGCGUUCUCAUAUCGUUUGGCAAAAUGUCGGCAUGAUUUAUAUCUGGCACUGCCUGUUCUUCCAAAUGACUUAAAGAUAGUUUGACGAAAUACUACAUAACAAUUAAAAAUUAACCUUUUAUCACCAAACCUCAAAUCUUUAUGCCAUUUUUUAUUUUCUUUAAUCUAAAAGGUUUAUGAUGAACAGUCCUAGCUCCUGAUAAUUUUAUCUCAAAGAAUCGUUCCAGUGGAAGUUAUUUGCGUUCACAGAUGUUCCUGGACAUCUCAAACGUCCAGGAACAUCUGUGAAUAUUGGUCUGGCACUCGUGGUAAAUUCACACAUUAAAAGCACCUCACUAUCAUUGCGUGUCCUCUUUCAUGACAUUACAUCAGAAGGGAUUUCAUUUUUUCCACCCAUGAGAGAGAAAAUGAGACUCCCUGUAUUCCGCUACCCAAUGACACACAUAACCUUUUAUCGAGUUCCCGCGUGCAAACAACACACUAUCUCUUACGAGCAAAUGCUUACAAGACACAAGCGUUGUGUGUACUGUGUGCGUGAAGUGGUUACUUCUCUGCACUAACGCAGUGGAGACGGCAUGUAAACAAAGGGCAGGACAUAAGACACUCCAGCUCCAUGCUCAGGUGGCCGCCCUGUUCCUCAGCAGGCCGUCUGAGAGUUGUUGCAUAAUCUGUGGUGUGAUUAAAAAGGCCGCCCUGGACCUCGGGGAUAUUAUCUGGGGGAUUUCACAGUAACAUCCAGG
ensembl:lncRNA